rnacentral:rRNA from 1 species
UGAGUACAAGAUGCUACGGCAUUGAAGCAGUCUAUGUCAUACUUCCAAGAAAAGCUUGCAAUGUCAUAAACAAAUAAUGCCUGUACCAUAACCGACACAGGUGAGUAGGUAGAGUAUACUAAGGGGCGCGAGAUAACUCUCUCUAAGGAACUCGGCAAAAUGACUCCGUAACUUCGGGAGAAGGAGUACCUUAUUUUAUAAGGUUGCAAUAACAAGGUCCAAGCAACUGUUUACCAAAAACACAGGUCUCCGCUAAAUCGUAAGACGAUGUAUGGGGGCUGACGCUUGCCCAGUGCCAGAAGGUUAAAGAAGUUGGUUAGCAUUAGCGAAGCUGAUAACUGAAGCCCUGGUGAACGGCGGCCGUAACGAUAACGGUCCUAAGGUAGCGAAAUUCCUUGUCGGGUAAGUUCCGACCCGCACGAAAGGCGUAAUGAUUUGGAUACUGUCUCGGAGUGGGGCUCGGUGAAAUAGACUUGUCUGUGAAGAUGCGGACUACCUGCACCUGGACAGAAAGACCCUAUGAAGCUUUACUGUAACUUGAGAUUGAAAUUGGACUUUAUUUGCGCAGUAUAGGUGGGAGACCUCGAAAGUAUUCUUGCGGGAAUAUUGGAGUCAUCAGUGAGAUACCACUCUUAUAAUGUUAGAUUUCUGACUUCGUAUCAUUAUCUGGUCAAAGAACAGUUUCAGGCGGGCAGUUUGACUGGGGCGGUCGCCUCCCAAAUGGUAACGGAGGCGCACAAAGGUUUCCUCUGAACGUGUAGAAAUCGUAUCUAGAGUGUAAAGGCAUAAGGAAGCUUGACUGUGAGACCUACAAGUCGAGCAGGGACGAAAGUCGGUCUUAGUGAUCUGACGGUGCUGAGUGGAAAGGCCGUCACUCAACGGAUAAAAGUUACUCUAAGGAUAACAGGCUGAUCUCCCCCAAGAGUUCACAUCGACGGGGAGGUUUGGCACCUCGAUGUCGGCUCAUCGCAUCCUGGGGCGGUAGUACGUCCCAAGGGUUGGGCUGUUCGCCCAUGAAAGCGGUACGCGAGCUGGGUUCAGAACGUCGUGAGACAGUUCGGUCCAUAUCCGGUGUAGGCGUUAGAAUAUUGAGAGGAGCCUUCUUUAGUACGAGAGGACCGAGAAGGACAUACCUCUGGUGUACCAGUUAUCGUGCCAACGGUAAACGCUGGGUAGCUAUGUAUGGAGAGGAUAACCGCUGAAAGCAUCUAAGUGGGAAGCCCACCUCAAGAUAAGUAUUCUC